rnacentral:lncRNA from 1 species
CAGAAGUUAGGCUACUUUAGGUCUCACCUUAUUAACUCUAGCAGCAGAUCUGUGUUGGAAUUCAAGAAAGGAACCACAUGAGCCAUAUUACCAUAGUGAAAUCCAUGAAGCAGAUGUAUAUAGAUAAGGGGACAAAUAUAUUGAUUAUUGCACAUUAAUUUUUUUAAGAAAAUGCAAAACAUGAUAUUAUUUGGCAAAGGAAGGAGGAUAAAUUACUAGGUUUGUAUAAGAGCUUUCUACCUAAUAUUGUGAGAAGAUAAAAUGGUUAAACAUUUAUAUUUGUCUUCUGUAAUGACAUUGUUAAAAGAAUACUUGUUUGGGAUUUUUUCUUGUUAAAUAUUCAUUUGCCUAUGUUCAUGUUUAUGAACAUGUUUAUGAACAUGUACAUGUUCAUAAACUGGCAAAAGCUUUUUUAUUGUGAGUAAUCUAUUGCUGGAUGAGAAAGACUGUCACUACAACUGUAAUGGGGGAAGGUGGAUUUUGUGUUAAUACUGACAAGAUAAUAUUAUAGAAGUAAGGUAUGUUUCAUCAUAGUUCUUACAACUUAAGCUGACACUGGUAAAACUUCCUAUUUAGGAAAAUGCUGAGACUUCUUAAAGCCCUAUUGUACUUGACAAUAUCAUCUUUUAAGAGAAGCUAGCUACACUGGCUGUAGAAAGGAGGAGGGAAUUGUGAAUUAUAUCUAUGACAGAGGCCAAUCUGACUGGACCAUCAAUGGUACAAUAUACAUUUUAUCUCAAAAUCUGAAAACUUUUUUGUUGUUGUUCAAUUGCAGCACUUCAGCUGCUCUUAGAGCACUAGAAAAUAAGCAUGCAAUUGCUCUUCUGACUGAAUAAAGUUACCAAAAUCAUAAAACUUGAUCCUGUUUCUAUUAAAUGAAUCAGUAACCUUGCUUGAAUUUCAAUAGGAG